rnacentral:rRNA from 1 species
GAUGAACGCUGACAGAAUGCUUAACACAUGCAAGUCGACUGUGGCGGACGGGUGAGUAACGCGUAAAGAACUUGCCUCUCAGCUAGGGACAACAUUUGGAAACGAAUGCUAAUACCUGAUACUGUGAGAGAGCUUUGCGUCCCAUUAGCUAGUUGGAGAGGUAACGGCUCACCAAGGCGAUGAUGGGUAGCCGGCCUGAGAGGGUGAUCGGCCACAAGGGGAUUGAGACACGGCCCUUACUGCUUCUGGAGGCAGCAGUGGGUAAUUGUUGACAAUGGACCAAAGUCUGAUCCAGGAAUUCUGUGUGCACGAUGAAGUUUUCGGAAGGUAGGGUGCUAUCAGUUGGGAAGCGGUACCAGCAGAAGAAGUGACGGCUAACUACGUGCCAGCAGCCGCGGUAAUUC